rnacentral:rRNA from 1 species
AGGGAUGCUACCGGGCGGACCGGAUGCGGAUCUCGAAAGCCUGUCCCAGUUCGGACUGGAGUCUGCAACCCGACUACAUGAAGCUGGAAUCGCUAGUAAUCGCGAAUCAGAAUGUCGCGGUGAAUACGUUCCCGGGUCUUGUACACACCGCCCGUCACACCAUGGGAGUCGGAAAUGCCCGAAGUCAGUGACCCAACCGUAAGGAGGGAGCUGCCGAAGGUGGAGCCGGUAACUGGGGUGAAGUCGUAACAAGGUAAC